AGUACGUGAAACUGCUYAGAGGUUAAGCCCGAUGAACCUGAAUAUCCAUUAUGGAAAAUUCAAUAUUAAGAAUAUUAUAUUUAAUUAUAUUGUAUGAAUAGUAUGCAAUUUUUCCAUAUAAGGACAUUGUAAUCUGUUAAUGUCUUAAAUGUUUAUCAAAAGAUCUUUUACUUAAGUUUAUUUAAAUUGUUUAUUUUCGGAUAUUCAACAUAAAAUAAAUGUUUAAGAUUUGAUAAAUCAUUGACAGAUAUAUUUAUAUAAAAUGCUCAAAUUCUUCGGAAUUUUACAAUGAUAAGUAGAUCUAUUGAUUUAUUUGUUAUUGCAUGCGUUUUUAUGAUUAACAAUGCGAUAGAUUCAGGAUACCUUCGGGACCCGUCUUGAAACACGGACCAAGGAGUCUAACAUAUGUGCAAGUCAUUGGGUAUUUUUAAUAAAACCCAAUGGCAUAAUUAACUUAACUGAUUAAUAAUGGGAUUAAUUUAUAUUUUGUUAUGAUUUAUUUAUUCAAUCCCGGGGCGUUCUAUACAGUUAUGCAUAAUGAUAUUUAUAUUAUUUAUGCCUCUAACUAGAGC
rnacentral:rRNA from 1 species